CAAAGAUUCUAAUGGAGUUUGGGUUGGUAGAGAAAAUCUUUGCGUUAGUAAAAUUUCAUACUAAUCAAUUACUUUAACACUAUGAAAUAUUUUGCAACUCACGUCUGCCUAAAGCAGGACUCUAAAAUACGAAGAUGACGUGUAAUUCCUCAGUCGCACCACUGGGUGGAGCCAUUUCCACAGCAAAGAUACAACGAAGCGAGAGAGAGAUCAAAGUUGGGGAGGUGGCCUUCGACGACAAUGACGACGACGACGACGACAUAGCACACAUGUUUACAGAAAGAAGAUGAAGGUGAGUUGGCUCUGAGUGUUUUUUACUCAGGGGCUGUAAGAGCAGCACAGUGGGAUGGCAGCGUGGGGGGACACAGCCGUCUGGACCAGCUUACAUGCUGAGGUAGACAAGCUACCCCUCAGCAGGAAAAGCUCUGCAGUUACAUCUCAGAGCCCGUCUCGGGCUGCCUAAGGGGUCUAUUUCUCUUUUGUU
rnacentral:lncRNA from 1 species